AAAUAAAGUGGACUUUUUAGUGGAUACAAGGAGCAACUUAUUCGGCAUUAAAUGUGAGGGAAAAGAUUUUGUUACAGUUGUGGGAACUACUGGCCGCCAACUUAAAAAAAAAAAAGCAUUCUUUCUGAAACCUUUAGAGCACAAAUUGGGAAAACAAAUAGGAGUGCAUAAAUUUUUAUGUAUGUCAAAUUCUCCAAAAUCUUUAUUAGGGUGAGAAGCAUCAUUUAAAGAAGGCAAAAUGGAAUUAAGAGUUAAAAAUGAUCAAUUAAUUGCAGUUUUGAGUUUAUCUUUAAUUCAACAGAAAAGCAAACAGGAGGACCUCCCUGAAAUAGAAGAAAUCCUUAAUCAGGUAUAUCUGGGAGUAUGGGCAUCUGAAUUUCCAGAUCUGGAGACUGGGUUUAUGUUAAGAAUUUUUCAGGAAAUCCUCUACAGGAGAAGUGGAGCAGACCAUACCAGAUAUUACUGACCACCUUUACAGCAGUGAAGAUAAAGGAAUAACCUGCUUGGAUACAUUAUUCAAGAACAAAGAAAGCACCAGAGCCAGAGAAGACAUGGUCUUCAGGACCCUUAUGUAUGAAAUUGCAUCGGUCAUAAUUUGGACUUGUAUGAUAACUGGCAUACAACUUGGGACCAGAAUUUAUACCUGAAAUUAGUGCAGAAUGUUACUAAAAUUUUUAAUCGCAGUAACUGUUGGGUGUGUGCACAGUUGCCUAAAUGAGGAGAAAAUACAGACCUUCUAUUAAUUGGCAUUCCAAUUCCCAACACUGUCUCAUGGACAAAUUUGUGGGUGAACACUAGCAAUCUACAUACGAGGGAAAAGUUAAGACUUCGGAUCGUUAAUCCUAAUCCAAGUAGAAAAUAUUAUACCUGUGUACAAAGAUGUAUUACACCAGGAACCAUGGUAGGAGAUUAUGUUUGUUUAAAUGCCACAGGUGUAGGUAACCAUUCAAAUUGCAAUCACACUAUUAAUAUAGAUGGUAUUGUAGUUCAGUGGUGGCCUACUCCUAAAGGGAAAGGAUGGUAUUGGUUAUGUGGAGAAAAUCCUUAUAAGACUCUCCCCCCC